rnacentral:rRNA from 1 species
UACGAAGGGUGCAAACGUUGCUCGGAAUUAUUGGGCGUAAAGCGCACGUAGGCGGCUUGGCAAGUCGGGUGUGAAAGCCCUCAGCUCAACUGAGGAAGUGCGCCCGAAACUGCAUAGCUUGAGUACCGGAGAGGAUGGUGGAAUUCCCGAAGUAGAGGUGAAAUUCGUAGAUAUCGGGAGGAACACCGGUGGCGAAGGCGACCAUCUGGACGGAUACUGACGCUGAGACGCGAAAGCGUGGGUAGCAAACAGG